UACAGUCGAUCUCCAGACCACUUCAGUUCUCAACCCGCUUCAAGCCUUCACGCCCCUUCCACCCUCGUAGAAGACAGAGGCUAGCUCUUCCACCCUUUUCCACCGUCGUAGAAGACAAAGACUCUUUCACCUUCUUCCAACAGCAAAGGCCGAAUGACCUAAUAGUUCCAACAGCCACUCUUAAUCAUAAGGAUGCAAUAAAAGAAAAGGCUGCACAAAAUUCUCAAAAUUCUGAUGGUACGAGUCCAACCAUAAAUGAUGUUGAGAUAGUGCAAAACCAACUAGGCAUAAGGAAGGGAUAUUGCUGUGGAUUCAGACAUGAUUUUAGUUUUUGUUUAGAAAAUUGGAGAUUUUAUGGAUCUUGAAUAUAUAUAUUGUGGGUUUUUUUUUUUUUUUUUUUGUUUGUUUUAUGACUAGUAAUAUCUUUUUGAAUGUUAUUGUGGUACUAUUUUGUUUA